GAGUUAUGAUGCUAGCUCAUUCAAUUUCAAAAGCAUUCCUUGCCAUAACGAUAACGACACUAUAACCAUUAUGACGCCUCCGAUUUCGUUAUAACUCUCUUCGCAACUCUCCAGCAACGGGUGGAUAAAAUAUGAGUUUGAAGCAAGCAGUUCAAAUAAUUUACAACUUUGAGACCAAACGUUUUGGUUGCUUAUACAUCGGGAAUAGAUAUAAAAAUGUAUUCGCUAGAGAAGCCAUUGUUCUAACGUAUUGGGCACAUAUAAAAAGAUGUACGAGAAAUACAAGCUUUACCUAAAUUUUUACGUUAUGAGCUUUACGUAAAAAAGUGGGCACAUGAAUUUAAAUUCUUAAAAUACUUCCAAGAAGAAUGGUUCGAUAAAAAUCAAAAUGGAUAAGAAUUGAUUUGGAAAUGUGCUGAAAUAAUCCUGCUACAAAAGCCAAGUAAAAACCCCAGAUCACCAUCAUCAUAUAGGCCAAUAACUCUUCUACUAUCUGCAAAUUAAUGAAAAAAACAAUAAAUAAAAGGCCAAGAAAAGAAAUCAUUGCUAAACAACUGAUCCUGGAUCAUCAAUCCGAAUUUAGAAAAAAACAACAUGAUCGGGCAGAUAUAUGCCUCCACCUAUAUAGUAAAAUAAACUGGAAAAAAUAUAUCCAGGAAAAAAUCAAAUAAAUAAAAAAUACAAGAAGAUGCACGUACUAAAUAAAAAAUCCAAAAGGAUACAGUACUUCAAAAAAUUUCAAACUGAGUACAACCAAUAAGGUGUUAAUAAGCAAUAUCAUUUUAAAGCCCAUCGGAAACGAAGAUGGCUUGCAAAUCUGGGACAUGGCAAAUCCAACAUAAAGAAAUGGAGAACCUACAAUCUAUUAUUCUACGUACUGUUCUGAAUGCACCUUGGUUCGUUAGAGACGAUAAUAUUAGGGAAAUCCUAAAAAUAUCAUCAGUUGAAGAAGAUAUUAUAAAUUUCUUAAAGACACAUCAAGUCAGUAUAAAUCUAUUCGAGAAAAGACUUCAUAAACCAACUCGAAAUCAACUUCUAAUCACCAUACAUGCAAAUAAAAGCUGCAAUACUAUUAUACUAUAUAGUUUAGUAAUUAUCUAUAAAUGGUAUACAAACAAUUAUUAAUUGUAUAUAGCAAUUAAAAACACGAAAAGAAAAUUGAAGGAAAAAUUUUGCUAUGAUCCGUUUACUACUAAAAUAACAGAAAUUUAUUAAUUGUGACAGAUCUAUUAUCCAUGACAUAAAUUUAAAAUCGUGGGUUUUGGAGGCAAAAGACAGUGUAUUUAUCUGAAUUCAAAGCAAGUAAAUGGUGGAUUCCGAAAUUUAAGAAUGUAUAUAGAAUCAUAUCUUGCAAUAUAACAACAUUCAAAACGCGAUCUAUAUUUCAAAAUAUGAAUAGUUCGCAAAAUUUUACAAAAUCUUUUGUUUCAUACGUAAGGUCUAACAUUCCAACUAUAUGAAUAUAUUAAAAAGAAGCGUCGUUAUUAUAAGUUAACCCUACCUGUCGAAGAUAAAAAAUAAAAAGAUGGCUGAUGUACUUGCCUAAAAGUUUUACAGAACUACAUCUGUAAUAUAAUGUCCACACACCAAUAUAAAUACAAGUAGAUAUUCGUUUUAUUGAGAAUAUGUUUUCAAUAGCAAAACAAAAUUCGCUAAUGACUGACCUAGAAAUACUGUCAAUAAACUACUUAGCAAAAUUAAAUAUCCUUGCCAAAAAUGCACUACUGUAUUUACUUUACUUAAGUAUGCUUAU